AUGUCGACGGGCACAGACAUUUCUCUUUCUUCAUAUGAUGAAGAUCAGGGAUCUAAGCUUAUCCGAAAAGCUAGAGAAGCACCGUUUGUUCCCAUUGGAAUGGCCGGGUUUGCAGCAAUUGUUGCAUAUGGAUUAUAUAAACUGAAGAGCAGGGGAAAUACUAAAAUGUCUGUUCACCUGAUCCACAUGCGUGUGGCAGCCCAAGGCUAUGUUGUGGGAGCAAUGACUCUCAGUAUGGGCUAUUCCAUGUAUAACAUCUUCUUUAUCCAUUCAUCCAUCGACAUGCACUAA